rnacentral:rRNA from 1 species
GAUGAACGCUGGCGGCGUGCCUAAUACAUGCAAGUCGAGCGAACAGACGAGGAGCUUGCUCCUCUGACGUUAGCGGCGGACGGGUGAGUAACACGUGGAUAACCUACCUAUAAGACUGGGAUAACUUCGGGAAACCGGAGCUAAUACCGGAUAAUAUAUUGAACCGCAUGGUUCAAUAGUGAAAGACGGUUUUGCUGUCACUUAUAGAUGGAUCCGCGCCGCAUUAGCUAGUUGGUAAGGUAACGGCUUACCAAGGCGACGAUGCGUAGCCGACCUGAGAGGGUGAUCGGCCACCCUGGAACUGAGACACGGUCCAGACUCCUACGGGAGGCAGCAGUAGGGAAUCUUCCGCAAUGGGCGAAAGCCUGACGGAGCAACGCCGCGUGAGUGAUAAAGGUCUUCGGAUCGUAAAACUCUGUUAUUAGGGAAGAACAAAUGUGUAAGUAACUAUGCACGUCUUGACGGUACCUAAUCAGAAAGCCACGGCUAACUACGUG